rfam:Lachnospiraceae bacterium JC7 contig00034, whole genome shotgun sequence.
GUGGGUAUAGCGUAGUUGGUUAUCGCGCCAGAUUGUGGUUCUGGAGAUCCCGGAUUCGAGUUCCGGUACCCACC